UGGGGAAUCUUCCGCAAUGGACGAAAGUCUGACGGAGCAACGCCGCGUGAGUGAAGAAGGUUUUCGGAUCGUAAAACUCUGUCUUUUGGGGGCGAACGUGAGUAUGGUGAACAAUCAUAGUCAGUGACGGUACCAAAGGAGGAAGCCACGGCUAACUACGUGCCAGCAGCCGCGGUAAUACGUAGGUGGCAAGCGUUGUCCGGAAUUAUUGGGCGUAAAGAGCGCGUAGGCGGGAUAGUCAGUCUGUUGUAAAGUGCGGGGCUCAACCCCGUGAUCGCAAUGGAAACAGCUAUUCUUGAGUGCAGGAGAGGAAAGUGGAAUUCCCAGUGUAGCGGUGAAAUGCGUAGAUAUUGGGAGGAACACCAGUGGCGAAGGCGACUUUCUGGACUGUGUCUGACGCUGAGGCGCGAAAGCCAGGGGAGCGAACGGGAUUAGAUACCCCCGGUAGUCCUGGCCGUAAACGAUGGGUACUAGGUGUGGGAGGUAUCGACCCCCUUCCGUGCCGGAGUUAACGCAAUAAGUACCCCCGCCUGGGGAGUACGGUCGCAAGACUGAAACUUAAAUGAAUUGAC
rnacentral:rRNA from 1 species